GUCCCUUAAAGUCAAAGUGGAGAAUCAACUUGAGUUUACUUAUCCAGAAACAACAAAUAAAUUGUUGCUGGAAUGGUUUAUAGAAAGCAUGUCGGAAGGUCAUUGACGAAGUUUUGGUUCACUAGAAUCUCGCCAAAAUUAUGAUAGAUGGGAUUUCGGCAGAAAAAUUUUGGUCACCGAAAGAGAAAAAUGGCUGGCAAUAUGAAAUGUCGCCGGAAAGUGGUAUGCUGCCAAUGCAACUGUCACCAGAGAAGAGGCAC
rnacentral:lncRNA from 1 species